rnacentral:lncRNA from 1 species
GUAACAGAAUACAGAAGGAGGCUUUCUAGUAAUGACCAUAGGAGCUGUGAUUAUAGACCUGUUUGAUAUGUAAGAUAUGAUUUAAUGGAGCAGUGAAACAGGAGUUCAGCUCUCUUUUGAAGUUGGACUUUAUCAGCAAGAGAGAUUUCCAAACCACUGUGUGGACUUUGUCAAUAACUCUGGCGUUAGGACUGGAACAACCACGUCUGGUUUGCUGGAAUCUAAGUAUGUUUGCCUGCACUCAGACCAGGCUCCUGGAAAUCAUUAUAUUUGCUGUUUCUGCAGUGGCUGGAGAGUUUCUCUACUGUUAUUGGUAUUUCUGUCCUUUAGUUUAAGGAGGCUACAGGGGACUGACUUGAUGAGCAGAAGAAAAGAUCUGUUAACCUAAAAGGUGAGGAAAAUGAAUUGUUUGCGAUUAGGUUAAUGUUCAGGAACAGCUGUUCUU